rnacentral:rRNA from 1 species
GACGAACGCUGGCGGCGUGCUUAACACAUGCAAGUCGAGCGGAGCGGCGAACGGGUGAGUAACGCGAGAGUAACUGCCCCCCUCUCUGGGAUAACAGUUGGAAACGGCUGCUAAUACCGGAAAGUGGGGGAUGACUCGCGUCCUAUCAGCUUGUUGGUGGGGUAGUGGCCUACCAAGGGGACGACGGGUAGCCGGCCUGAGAGGGCGACCGGCCACAUUGGGCUGAGAUACGGCCCAAGCUCCUACGGGAGGCAGCGGUGGGUAUUAUGGCACAAUGGGGGAACCCCUGAUGCAGCAACGCCGCGUGCGGGAUGACGGCCUUGGAGGUGUAAACCGCUGUCAGCCAUGACGCGGUAGUGGCAGAAGAAGCACCGGCUAACUACGUGCCAGCAGCCGCGGUAAUUC